AGCAGAGGUCUCCAAUGACCUCUGUUCCCCAGAACAAACAUAUCAACAAACUGUGGGGAGGAUCUUGGAGCUGGCUAGGGCCUGAGCGACAGCAACCAAGAGCUUUGGCUUGGAGACAGUAUGACAGCAUCCAGGAGCUUGGGCCCAGGGUGGCCUAGGGCAGCCAACAGCCAGGCUGCAGGGGCAGGAGCUGAAUCAGAGCAGUGAAGAGCCAGCAGAGCAGGAAGCCUACCUUAAAAAGCUGGCAGCCAGGAAGGGAGGGUGGAAGGGAGGAUGGAAGGGAGGAUGGGAGAAGUGGCCCAGCAGGGGGCAGACUAGAACUUGGACCAGUAGUGAGAUGGGAAAGUUGUGUUGAGGGCUAACACGUUAAGCACAAAUCCUUAUAGAGAAAAAAAAUAACGUUAGUCAGUGAGGUUCUCUGUCUACUAGAUGACAAAUUUCCAAAAGUAUGGAAUAUCUGGAAUAAAAAUAUGUACUUAUGGAAUUCAAUGAACAUAGCAUUAGAGUUCAAGAGAGAAUUAUUAAUGAACUAGAAGAUAAAUAAAAAGGUUUUAUAUAGAAUGCUGUAAAGAGAUAAGGAGAUGAAAAGUAUGAGAUUAAGGGCCAUGCAAAAGAGAAAAAGAAAGUCUAGCCUAUUUUACUGGUAAGUAGAUCUUACUGUGAGCUGAGAAUGGUUUUGUACUUGAAAAUAAAAAACGAAGAAUAUGCAACAGAGAUUGCGCGUGGCCUGAGAAGCCCUUUUCAGAAAGAGUCUGCCAGCCCCUGAUCUAGUAUAGGUCACAUUGGAAUCCCAGAGAAAACAAAAAGAUGGAAGAGAGAAGAUAUUUUUAAAGGUAAUGGCUGAGAAUUUCACAAAGCUGAUAAAAAAUAUGGAUGCAAAGACCCAAGAAGCAUAACAUAAAUAUGCACUUAACAGGAGAAAACAUGAGGGUACCAUCUGUCUUCCAGUGACUGGGGCCUGAUGUAAAGAACUGGGAAGUGGCAUACAAACUCUGAUGAUGUCUGCUCUGCAGUUGGAGCACGUGUGAAGCAAGGUCCUGCAAGACCUGAAGACCUUAGCUUCUGAGAACAGUGGAACUGAUCUCUUAGACUUCAUGGGAGAGUUCCUGGAUAAACAGAACACAGACUAUCUGGAAUACCAUCCUGGUGGGCAGAAGGAAUUAGAAGAGCUGGCCCAAAGGGUAUCUGUUUGAAAAGCCUGCUAAAGCAUCAGGUAGAGACAAGUUCCGAGGGCAACACAGCAAGCCUUCCCAUUGUAGUAGGUCCCAAAGUCAGCUACCUAAGAAUCUUGAUCUCCAUUUGACAGAAGACUGCCUUCACUUUUGUCUAGUAUCCUCGUUGUGCUUGAAAAUAAAUCUGCCUUGCAGGGAAAAGCUCAAUUAGCUUCACUUCUGUAACUGCACUUUAGGAUUAGAAAAGGAAAUGACAAAGAUAAACUCCUUUUCUUCCAUCCCCCCAAUUCUGAGGGGGGUAGGGGCGCAGGGAGUAGAGUAACAGGUAAUGAAGAAACACAAUGAAACCUGAGUCCUGGUGGCUCACAAUGGCUGCCACUGCUGACAUCCUGUCAUUUCUAUUCAGGCUGAAUGAAAUAUUAUUCGGUCAUCCUAGAUGUAAAUCAUUUCCAUCCCAAAGGAAAGAAUGGGAGAAAUUUGAAUAUUCUGCACUCAGUACCCAGAUAGAAGAAAGGGGGCGUCAACUUUGCUGCCAUCUUUUUGUUUGCAAGGCUCAAACUGAUAAGCUUCUUUUUCUUUUGAAGAUAAAAACCAUUAAAUGAUGUGUUGAAGACAUGCCUAAAAAUACUUCACAUUUCAACUAUGGCUUCUGCAUUGAAAAUCUGUAAGAACUUCUCCAAUUAACUUUCCAAUCUUUCCACAACCUCUCUGUUUUAAAAAAAGAAAACAAAAUAAAAAAAAAAAUCUUUGAAAUAAUUUAAGU